rnacentral:rRNA from 1 species
CUCACACUACACUUCUCCAUGCCUCCUUUCCUCUACAUAUUACUCGGGCUUCUCUUACUCUCGCACACAGCUCCUCGGUGCUCUUCCGCAAGGGACACUCUCAUGGCAGGCCAAGUGCUUGCUGCCGUCGGUGGCAGCAAGCUCGUCUCAGGAAACGGCAAGUUCGCGCUGGGCUUCUUCCAGCCAGCUAACACUGCAUGCACCAUCAACGGUAGUAAGUUCCACCACAACACCAGCUCCAGUUGGUACCUUGGCAUAUGGUUCAAUAAAAUCGCAGUUUUUACUACUGUAUGGGUAGCUAAUAGGGAGGAGCCCAUCACACAUCCCAAACUCAACUCAACACAGCUCAAGAUCUCAAGUGAUGGAAAUCUUGUCAUUGCCGUAAACCAUGCUGAUGCCGGCAAGGAAUCCGUUGUUUGGUCCACUCGCAUUGUCAAUAGGACACAAACCAACAACAAAAACAGUAGUGUCGUUGUUCUCUUCAACAGUGGAAACCUUGCCCUACUCACAAAUAGCCAAGAGAUAUUGUGGCAGAGCUUCGACUACCCAACAGAUGUUUUGCUUCCCGGCGCCAAGUUUGGUCGGAACAAGGUCACCGGCUUGAGUCGUUCAAUUAUUUCAAAGAAGAGCCUCACUGAUCCAUGUCUUGGCUCAUAUAGUGUUGAACUAGAAGGCACCAGCAGGAUCGUCCUCAAGCGCCGCAACGACCCUUCCAUAGUGUAUUGGCAAUAUGCAUCAUCUAAACAAUCAUCAUUGAUACUCAAGUCAAUGGUAUAUUUGGAUCCUCUGGCCAAACGAUUGAUUAACCCAACAUAUGUUAAUAACAACCAAGAGGAAUACUACAUGUACACUUGUUUGGAUGAUUCAUCUUCCAUAUUUGCGUCACUAGAUAUAUCUGGUCGGAUAAAGCUAAACUUUUGGUCGCAAGCCAAACAGUCUUGGGAAACCAUACAUGCCCAACCUUACGAUCCAUGCACUACUCCUGCUACAUGCGGACCUUUCACAGUCUGCAACAACAAUGCAUAUCGAUUAUGUGAUUGUAUGGAGGGAUUCUCUAAGAAGUCACCGGUGGACUGGGAGUCUAAUGAUCGAACAGGAGGAUGCAUCCGAAAUACACCACUACAUUGCAGCACUAGUGACAAAAACAUGACAAGUUCAACAGACGUGUUUCACCGCAUUGCUCAAGUUAAAUUGCCUUACAAGCCCCAAAUAAUAGUCGUUGUUAGCGGUCAAAGAAACUGUGAAGAAGCUUGCCUCAAUUCCUGCUCUUGCACUGCUUAUUCCUUUGCCAAUCAACUAUGCUCUAUCUGGGAAGGAGAAUUGCUUAGUGUAAAUCUGAAUUAUGGUACUGAUAAUAGAACUGAAGAUGUUCUUUAUGUUCGCCUUGCCACAGAGUAUUUUCUACUAAGUUUGAGAAAAAACAAAAGAAAACCAAAUGUUGUAGUUAUUGCUGCUGCAAGCAUUAUUGGUUUUGGAUUACUAAUGCUCAUAGUGUUGCUACUGAUUUGGAGGAACAGAUUCAAGCGGUUUGGUUUGCCUUUAUAUAACAACCAAGGCAGUUGUGGAGGGAUUAUGGUCUUUAGAUACACUGAUUUAGUCCAUGCUACUAGAAACUUCUCAGAAAAGCUAGGAGGAGGUGGUUUUGGUUCUGUAUACAAGGGAGUACUAAGUGACAUGACUAGUAUAGCAGUGAAAAGGCUUGAUAGUGCCUAUCAAGGAGAGAAGCAAUUCAGGGCAGAGGUGAGCUCAGUUGGGCUGAUCCAACAUAUCAACAUAGUCAAAUUGAUUGGUUUCUGCAGCGAAGGUGAUAAAAGGCUACUUGUGUAUGAACACAUGUUAAAUGGAUCUCUUGAUGGCCAUCUAUUUAAUAAGGACAAUGGUAAUGUUGUUGUCCUAAGUUGGAAAAGCAGAUAUCAAAUAACCCUUGGAGUUGCGAGAGGAUUGUCCUACUUGCAUCAUAAUUGUCAUGAAUGCAUCAUACAUUGUGAUAUUAAGCCAGAGAAUAUACUUGUAGAUGCAUCAUUUGUUCCCAAAGUUGCAGAUUUUGGGUUGGCAACAUUAGUGGGAAGGGAUUUUAGUCGAAUCCUGACCACAUUAAGAGGAACUGCAGGUUAUAUUGCCCCAGAGUGGCUUAGCGGAGUUGCUAUUACACCGAAAAUUGAUGUUUAUAGCUUUGGCGUGGUACUUUUGGAAAUCUUAUCUGGAAGUAGGAAUUCACAAGAAACAUACAAUACUAGUGAGACCUACUAUGUCAAAUAUUUUCCAAUUCAAGCCAUCAACAAGCUUCAGGGUGGUGAUGUGGGAAGUUUGGUGGACCCAAAAUUACAUGGUGACUUCAACUUGGAAGAGGCUGAACGGAUUUGUAAAGUUGCAUUUUGGUGCAUCCAAGAUAAUGAGUUUGAUCGACCAACGAUGGGUGAAGUGGUCAAGAUUCUCGAGGGUCUGCGGGAUAUUGAUAUGCCCCCGAUGCCGAGACAACUUGCUGCUAGAAGGAACACUAUGAUAUCUCGG